AGCGGCAAGAGCUCAAAUUUGAAAGCUGGCUCCUUCGGGGUCCGCAUUGUAAUUUGCAGAGGAUGCUUCGGGUGCAGCCCCCGUCUAAGUGCCCUGGAACGGGCCGUCAUAGAGGGUGAGAAUCCCGUAUGGGGCGGGGUGUCUGCGUCCGUGUGAAGCUCCUUCGACGAGUCGAGUUGUUUGGGAAUGCAGCUCUAAAUGGGUGGUAAAUUUCAUCUAAAGCUAAAUACUGGCCGGAGACCGAUAGCGCACAAGUAGAGUGAUCGAAAGAUGAAAAGCACUUUGAAAAGAGAGUUAAACAGCACGUGAAAUUGUUGAAAGGGAAGCGCUUGCAACCAGACUCGCUCGCGGGGUUCAGCCGGGCUUCGGCCCGGUGUACUUCCCCGCGGGCGGGCCAGCGUCGGUUUGGGCGGCCGGUCAAAGGCCUCCGGAAUGUAGCGCCCUUCGGGGCGCCUUAUAGCCGGGGGUGCAAUGCGGCCAGCCUGGACCGAGGAACGCGCUUCGGCACGGACGCUGGCAUAAUGGUUGUAAACGACCCGUCUUGAAACACGGACCAAGGAGUCUAACAUCUACGCGAGUGUUCGGGUGUCAAACCCGUACGCGCAGUGAAAGCGAACGGAGGUGGGAGCCCCCUCGCGGGGCGCACCAUCGACCGAUCCUGAUGUCUUCGGAUGGAUUUGAGUACGAGCGUAGCUGUGGGGACCCGAAAGAUGGUGAACUAUGCCUGAAUAGGGCGAAGCCAGAGGAAACUCUGGUGGAGGCUCGCAGCGGUUCUGACGUGCAAAUCGAUCG
rnacentral:rRNA from 1 species